AACGUAGGGGACAAGCGUUAUCCGGAUUUACUGGGCGUAAAGAGCUCGUAGGCGGUUCGUCGCGUCGGCUGUGAAAACCCGAGGCUCAACCUCGGGCCUGCAGUCGAUACGGGCGGACUGGAGUUCGGCAGGGGAGACUGGAAUUCCUGGUGUAGCGGUGAAAUGCGCAGAUAUCAGGAGGAACACCGGUGGCGAAGGCGGGUCUCUGGGCCGAUACUGACGCUGAGGAGCGAAAGCGUGGGGAGCGAACAGG
rnacentral:rRNA from 1 species